rnacentral:rRNA from 1 species
CCUACGGGAGGCAGCAGGGAGGAAUAUUGGUCAAUGGACGAGAGUCUGAACCAGCCAAGGAGCGUGAAGGAUGACUGCCCGAUGGGUUGUAAACUUCUGUUAUAAAGGAAUAAAACGAGGCACGUGGGCCUUUUUGCAUGUACUUUAUGAAUAAGGAUAGGCUAACUCCGUGCCAGCAGCCGCGGUAAUACGGAGGAGCCGAGCGUUAUCCGGAUUUAUUGGGUUGAAAGGGAGCGUAGAUGGGUUGUUAAGUCAGUGGUGAAAGUUUGCGGCUCAACCGUAAAAUUGCAAUUGAUACUGGCAGUCUUGAGUACCGUUGAGGUAGGCGGAAUUCGUGGUGUAGCGGUGUCAUGCUUAGAUAUCACG